rnacentral:rRNA from 1 species
UACGGAGGGGGCUAGCGUUGUUCGGAAUUACUGGGCGUAAAGCGCACGUAGGCGGCUUUGUAGGUUAGAGGUGAAAGCCCAGAGCUCAACUCUGGAACUGCCUUUAAGACUGCAUCGCUUGAAUUGUGGAGAGGUAAGUGGAAUUCCGAGUGUAGAGGUGAAAUUCGUAGAUAUUCGGAAGAACACCAGUGGCGAAGGCGACUUACUGUACACAUAUUGACGCUGAGGUGCGAAAGCGUGGGGAGCAAACAGG